AGAUAAAGACAUGUCACACGUAGAAAUAUUCAUGCUAAUGCAACUUGAAUCCCAGAGGAUGCCAUCACCCAAAUGGUCUCUGAGGAGAAGAAGGAUGGAUCUGGUCUUGUGUACCUUUCUAGAAUCAGAGGCUAUGUGUUCCUGUUCUUGCUCCCAUGAAUCUGAAAACUCUGGCUGUGAUGUUUGAUGG